rnacentral:lncRNA from 1 species
GUUUCCGCCCUCUAGGAGGUGCGACAAGCGGCGCUCUUUUCAGAAUUUGCUAGCCAAGUACCCUGUGUAUGCUCCACCCCAGGGAGCUCAUCCCUGAAGAAACUUCAAAUGGCUUCUAAGAAGAAAAGGUCAGCCCUUCCCAAUGUCCCCAGGUGAGGCAGGCUGCCCUCCUACCCUUCAAAGCACCAAGAUGAUGUAGACUCAAGACCCGCCCUGCUAUGAGCCCCAGGCUGGGCUUUAGAGGCAGGAGUCCCAAGGAAGUGAGGCAAAGGUCAGGGAAAUAAAUUAAUAAAUACAGGGGCCCCAUGAGGGCGGCUGGGAAGGCUGCUUUGCCUCUCAACACUGAUCACUGCUGUCCACUCCAGACAUUCCCACCUUUUCUUGAGUGGAAGCAGGGCUACUGUUUGGAAUGGAGAGCAUUUCUCUUGGGACAGGCUUCAGGAACUCAGAGUCUGCGCUCCAUGCGCCGCUCCACAGCUCUUAGCAAUAGCUCAGAGUACUGCUCCAACAGGGCCUGCGUCUGCUCAGCCCCCACAGUCCCAGGGCUGCCACCUGGGCUGGACAGCACAGCCCCAGCCAGAGCCUCGAGCUCCUGUCGCACUGAAGAGAAGGUGUCCCUCAGGAGACGGGUGAUGUGACUUUGCUCUGCUGAAGGUGUCUUACAGCUGGUCACCUGCAACAGGAACACUGGAUGUGAGCUGGAGAACAGCAGACAGUAGAAUAUAGAAAAGGGGGCUCUGCCGGUGCCUUGCCCACCCAGUGGAAGGGACUGCCAAGGAGUCUACACACAAGAUCAGGGUGAUCAGAGUCACUCUGAUGGGUGACCCAGAUGAGGGUCCCUCCAGGCUAUCUACUUCUUAACAACUUUUCCCAACAACUCUCUUUCAAAUGUGACAGUUACAUUGUUUCUUAUACCUAAACUGCCCAAACCAUUUUGGGAUAUAAAAAAAGAUAACAGCC